CUCUUCUCCUGCCUGCCACAUGUGACUGCUGGACCCCCCCUGCUGCCUUCCUGCCAGAUUAGGUUGCCCUGAUCGCCUGCAUGCCUUGGAUCCCUGAGCAAUGUGAGCUUAUCUCUAAUACUGGAUCAAACAACAGCCCAGCUCUCCCCAGUUACAAAAUGCCGAACCCUGGAGUUAAAACUGGCCGUUGCUCCUUUAAUAAAUUCUAGUACUGUCUACCAAGGAGAACCGAUAGCAAAGAAACAAAGAAUCAGUUCCCUUACCGCAGAUGCUGUUUUAGAGGAUUCUUCAGGAAGGCAGAGCUGUUCCCCAUAUGAAAAUGAUUUGGGAAACACAGUGACUGCUGUCACAGAACUAUCCCCGCUUAUUAACACAUAUUGUGUGUCGCUGCUCCACGCCAGGAGGAGAAAUCAACCUGACAGCUUAGUUAAAAGCGAGAUGUUGACGGUACUAUGCGGGAGAAUUUCUUUAAGCAUCGAAGACAUUUUAAAAGGGAAGCACACAGUAAAUAUAUUUGAACACUGUCAAGGUUGUAUAGAAGACCUUUUGGCUGUUUUAUCCACAUAUUUAAAAUGUUCCCUCCAUAUCUCCUCGCCUGACUGUACACUGACUUCAGUGAAAUUGUGGAUGAUUGGUCAAAUGCAGGGGGAACCUGUGCGACACAUCCCAGAAAUCAUUUGCAGCCAUAUACCUGGAAGUCUUGACGGCACUCUUUUCAUCUGGGAUCCACAGAGCCCUUGUGAAGGGAAACUUACCAUCUUUGCAAGAUUUUUCAGAUGCAGUUGUUAGCAGAUGCUGUUGUCCAUGAAGAAGAGAAAAUAGAGGGCUGCCAUCGGGACCACGAUGUUAUGUGGGGGGCCCAAGGAUGUUAAAUAGGCCCCCUUUGCCCCAAACCCUCCCCCGACGGCUGCCUGCUUCUGUUCUCUUAGCGCUUCAUUCCUAAGGAGAGAUUGUUCAGCGUUAUUCAUG